GGCAAAGAAAGAUGCUAAACUAUUUUUGCGAUGUGUUCCUAAUAUGCAGUAUAAAUAUAUUGGGAACAUUUUGCAUAUGUAGUUUUGUAUCAAUAUACAGA
rnacentral:pre_miRNA from 1 species